GGAAUGUAGCUCAGAGGUAGUGCACUUUCUUAGCAUGCAUGAGUCCCUGAGUUCAAUCCCCAGCACCA
rnacentral:tRNA from 1 species